rnacentral:lncRNA from 1 species
AGAGUUGGCAGGCGAGUCCUCGAGUUCGAGCUCUGCAGGACUUUGGGCAGAAGGCCAAGGCACACUGGAGUGACGCAGGAGAGGGGCCUGUUCUGCAGGGCUUCAGAAGCACAGCGCGCCCGGGCCCUCUCCACCUCCCAGGCCUGCCCUGUCUGCUCUGCACAGACGCCCUCUUCACGCCCCCGAUGUUGGCACGCUGACUGCCAGCAGCUCCCGCGGCGCACCCUCCCAGGCCCAACACUCGCAGUCUGGCAUCUGUGCUUCCCAAACAGUCACCCUUAUGCCAUCUGGUCCUCUGCCCUAUUGAAACCAGAUCUCAGGCAGAUAGUAGCCUGGACACAUCGCCACCGGGAAGAAAUGUAGAGCGGAAGGCCCAUCAAUGGUAAGUCUCUUUCUGGAUUCUGGGCUCAAAAAUCCUCGGGCUUUAAGGCAGCAUGGACAGAAGUAUUCUCAGUAAAUGUGUACGAGGGAGCCAAA